rnacentral:rRNA from 1 species
CCAAUAGCGUAUAUUAAAGUUGUUGCAGUUAAAAAGCUCGUAGUUGAAUUUCGGGAUUGGCGCAUCGGGCGUGCCUCACGGGGUAUGAACUGGCGCAGUCAAUUUCUCACCUUCUGGAGAACCGCGAUGUCCUUAAUUGGGUGCCGUGGGGAACCAGGACCUUUACUUUGGAAAAAUUAGAGUGUUUAAAGCAGGCAUUUUUGCUUGAAUACAUUAGCAUGGAAUAAUAAAAUAGGACGGCAUGGUUCUAUUUUGUUGGUUUCUAGGACCACCGUAAUGAUUAAUAGGGAUAGUUGGGGGCAUUAGUAUUCAAUUGUCAGAGGUGAAAUUCUUGGAUUUAUUGAAGACUAACUACUGCGAAAGCAUUUGCCAAGGAUGUUUUCAUUAAUCAAGAACGAAAGUUAGGGGAUCGAAGACGAUCAGAUACCGUCGUAGUCUUAACCAUAAACUAUGCCGACUAGGAAUCAGACGAUGUUAAUUUUUUAAUGACUCGUUUGGCACCUUACG